AUACGGAGGGGGCUAGCGUUACUCGGAAUCACUGGGCGUAAAGCGCGCGCAGGCGGUCUUUUAAGUUGGAUGUGAAAGCCUACGGCUCAACCGUAGAACUGCAUCCAAAACUAUUAGACUAGAGUGUGGGAGAGGAAGAUGGAAUUAGUUGUGUAGGGGUAAAAUCCGUAGAGAUAACUAGGAAUACCAAAAGCGAAGGCAAUCUUCUGGAACACUACUGACGCUGAGGCGCGAAAGCGUGGGGAGCAAACGGGAUUAGAAACCCCAGUAGUCC
rnacentral:rRNA from 1 species